CUUGACAUCCAGCGAACUUGGCAGAGAUGCCUUGGUGCCUUCGGGAACGCUGAGACAGGUGCUGCAUGGCUGUCGUCAGCUCGUGUUGUGAAAUGUUGGGUUAAGUCCGCAACGAGCGCAACCCUUAUCCUUUGUUGCCAGCGAUUCGGUCGGGAACUCAAAGGAGACUGCCGGUGAUAAACCGGAGGAAGGUGGGGAUGACGUCAAGUCAUCAUGGCCCUUACGAGUAGGGCUACACACGUACUACAAUGGCGCAUACAAAGAGAAGCGACCUCGCGAGAGCAAGCGGACCUCAUAAAGUGCGUCGUAGUCCGGAUCGGAGUCUGCAACUCGACUCCGUGAAGUCGGAAUCGCUAGUAAUCGUGGAUCAGAAUGCCACGGUGAAUACGUUCCCGGGCCUUGUACACACCGCCCGUCACACCAUGGGAGUGGGUUGCAAAAGAAGUAGGUAGCUUAACCUUCGGGAGGGCGCUUACCACUUUGUGAUUCAUGACUGGGGUGAAGUCGUAACAAGGUAAGCGUAGCGAG
rnacentral:rRNA from 1 species